rnacentral:rRNA from 1 species
UUUGUUGGACGCUAGCGGCGGAUGGGUGAGUAACACGUGGGCAAUCUGCCCUAAAGACUGGGAUACCACUUGGAAACAGGUGCUAAUACCGGAUAACAACAUGAAUCGCAUGAUUCAAGUUUGAAAGGCGGCGCAAGCUGUCACUUUAGGAUGAGCCCGCGGCGCAUUACCUAGUUGGUGGGGUAAAGGCCUACCAAGGCAAUGAUGCGUAGCCGAGUUGAGAGACUGAUCGGCCACAUUGGGACUGAGACACGGCCCAAACUCCUACGGGAGGCAGCAGUAGGGAAUCUUCCACAAUGGACGCAAGUCUGAUGGAGCAACGCCGCGUGAGUGAAGAAGGUCUUCAGAUCGUAAAGCUCUGUUGUUGGUGAAGAAGGAUAGAGGCAGUAACUGGUCUUUAUUUGACGGUAAUCAACCAGAAAGUCACGGCUAACUACGUGCCAGCAGCCGCGGUAAUACCUAGGUGGCAAGCGUUGUCCGGAUUUAUUGGGCGUAAAGCGAGCGCAGGCGGAAUGAUAAGUCUGAUGUGAAAGCCCACGGCUCAACCGUGGAACUGCAUCGGAAACUGUCAUUCUUGAGUGCAGAAGAGGAGAGUGGAACUCCAUGUGUAGCGGUGGAAUGCGUAGAUAUAUGGAAGAACACCAGUGGCGAAGGCGGCUCUCUGGUCUGCAACUGACGCUGAGGCUCGAAGCAUGGGUAGCGAACAGGAUUAG